rnacentral:rRNA from 1 species
UACGUAGGUGGCAAGCGUUGUCCGGAUUUAUUGGGUUUAAAGGGUGCGUAGGCGGCCCCGUAAGUCAGUGCUGAAAUCUCCCGGCUUAACCGGGAGGGUGGCAUUGAUACUGCAGGGCUUGAGUAAAGUUGAGGUAGGCGGAAUUGACGGUGUAGCGGUGAAAUGCUUAGAUAUCGUCAAGAACACCGAUAGUGUAGACAGCUUACUAAGCUUUAACUGACGCUGAGGCACGAAAGUGUGGGGAUCAAACAGG